GAUGAACGCUAGCGGCAGGCUUAAUACAUGCAAGUCGAACGGUAAGUGUUGUAGCAAUAUAACACCAAGAGUGACGUACGGGUGCGUAACACGUAUGCAACCUACCCUUUACAGGAGGAUAGCUCGGGGAAACUCGAAUUAACCCUCCAUAAUAUAAUUGGAUGGCAUCAUUUGAUUAUUAAAACUCAGGUGGUAAAGGAUGGGCAUGCGUCUGAUUAGUUAGUUGGCGGGGUAAUGGCCCACCAAGACGAUGAUCAGUAGGGGACCUGAGAGGGUGAUCCCCCACACUGGCACUGAGAUACGGGCCAGACUCCUACGGGAGGCAGCAGUAGGGAAUAUUGGUCAAUGGAUGCAAGUCUGAACCAGCCAUGCCGCGUGCAGGAAGAAGGCCUUCUGGGUUGUAAACUGCUUUUGCCAGGGGAUAAAAUGUCUGUGCGCAGAUAAUUGAAGGUACCUGGUGAAUAAGCCACGGCUAACUACGUGCCAGCAGCCGCCGUAAGAC
rnacentral:rRNA from 1 species